GGAGAAGGGCCUGGCCUUCCUUCCCAGGAGCUUUGUGGCCUCUUUGAACCCAGGGGACAGGAAGGAUGGAAGAAAGGCAGGAGGCAGGAGCCUCAGUCCCGAGAGACUUCGCUCGCUCAGCAGGGAGCCUAGAGCCCCCAGAGCAGCUCUUGGCCCCUCCCCCACACCAAACCUAGAUGGAACUUGCCAACUGUGAGCAGGAGGGGGUCCGCCUCCAGAGAACCCAUGCUUGCAUCACAAAGGAGGCCAGAAGCCCCACCAGCCUCUCCUGGCCCCGCCUGGAGCCACUGUCUCCCACCCUGGGAGCCCUCCUGACUCAGCCUUCUGAGACAUGUCUGUGGUGGCCUCUCUGAGUAACCCAAAGUGAGUCUGGACACGUCUUGGCGUUGAGAACAGCUAAUCCAGUCAUGGGCAACCUCAGGCCACGCUUAUCUGCCAGCAGGCAAGACUGGGUCUGUCCUCUGUGCUGGUGUAGACUGGGCCCCAGUCCCGACAUCAGGAGUGUGAGCUCAUAGACUUGCGAUGGGCAAGCCCGAGAGCCCAGUGGGGAUGGUGGAGAUCGCCGGCCGCUCGGGGCAGAAGCACCGAGGCUUCCUGGAGGCGGGGCUGCUGCUGCUGCUGCUCCUGGUGACCGGAGCCCUGGUCACCCUGGGCCUCCUCUACGCCGACAGCAGAGGU